rnacentral:rRNA from 1 species
AGAUGAGGAGCUUGCUCUUCAAAUCGAGUGGCGAACGGGUGAGUAACGCGUGAGGAACCUGCCUCAAAGAGGGGGACAACAGUUGGAAACGACUGCUAAUACCGCAUAAGCCCACGAUCCGGCAUCGGAUUGAGGGAAAAGGAUUUAUUCGCUUCAGGAUGGACCCGCGUCUGAUUAGCCAGUUGGCGGGUAACGGCCCACCAAAGCGACGAUCAGUAGCCGGUCUGAGAGGAUGAACGGCCACACUGGAACUGGGACACGGUCCAGACUCC